rfam:Trichobilharzia regenti genome assembly, scaffold: TRE_scaffold0028183
AUCCAGAUGACGAGUCCAAAAUAGGGCGAAAUGUGCAUCCUGACUGGAU